rnacentral:rRNA from 1 species
AUGCCGUCGUCUCAGGUUCCCAAGUCUUCAUCUCUGCACGAUGAGUUGAGAGAUGGCCGUGGUGUUGAGGGUGCUGCGUUGGAGCGCGCUGAGCAUAUUUUAAGCAAUGUGUGUUCUGAGCUGCAAAAGGUCCCAACGACAGUUGAGCGUCUGAGCUGUAUCAAUGGUAUCCUUCCUGAAGGUCAUCAAUUUAACGCUGAGGAAGCAGUGGACUAUAUUGAGAUGGAGAGAAUUUUUAUUGGUGAUAUGCGUGACGGUGUUGCUGAUCUAGUUCAGAGCUCGGUUCGUCUGUUGAACAACAUGAAGCGUUUCAAAACUAUGCAAGACUCUUGCUGCAAGCCAUAUGAAGAAAGUGCAAAAGUUGUUAUCAGGCAGAUUGAGCAGGAUGAGGCUGCUGCCACCGACAGCAGGGCUGGUGAUUGUACUGAGGCUAAUGUUCCUGAUCACGAAACGAACGAUAUUGGCUUGGAACGCGCUGUUGUUGAUAUGAAUUGA